CAGCAGCCGCGGUAAUACGUAGGUGGCAAGCGUUGUCCGGAAUUAUUGGACGUAAAGGGCUCGCAGGCGGUUUCUUAAGUCUGAUGUGAAAGCCCCCGGCUCAACCGGGGAGGGUCAUUGGAAACUGGGAAACUUGAGUGCAGAAGAGGAGAGUGGAAUUCCACGUGUAGCGGUGAAAUGCGUAGAGAUGUGGAGGAACACCAGUGGCGAAGGCGACUCCCUGGUCUGUAACUGACGCUGAGGAGCGAAAGCGUGGGGAGCGAACAGGAUUAGAUACCCCCGUAGUCCCUGUCUCUUAUAC
rnacentral:rRNA from 1 species